CCGCCUAGGGAGWACGGCCGCAAGGUUAAAAMUCAAAUGAAUUGACGGGGGCCCGCACAAGCGGUGGAGCAUGUGGUUUAAUUCGAUGCAACGCGAAGAACCUUACCUACUCUUGACAUCCAGAGAACUUUCCAGAGAUGGAUUGGUGCCUUCGGGAACUCUGAGACAGGUGCUGCAUGGCUGUCGUCAGCUCGUGUUGUGAAAUGUUGGGUUAAGUCCCGCAACGAGCGCAACCCUUAUCCUUUGUUGCCAGCGGUUAGGCCGGGAACUCAAAGGAGACUGCCAGUGAUAAACUGGAGGAAGGUGGGGAUGACGUCAAGUCAUCAUGGCCCUUACGAGUAGGGCUACACACGUGCUACAAUGGCGCAUACAAAGAGAAGCGACCUCGCGAGAGCAAGCGGACCUCAUAAAGUGCGUCGUAGUCCGGAUUGGAGUCUGCAACUCGACUCCAUGAAGUCGGAAUCGCUAGUAAUCGUAGAUCAGAAUGCUACGGUGAAUACGUUCCCGGGCCUUGUACACACCGCCCGUCACACCAUGGGAGUGGGUUGCAAAAGAAGUAGGUAGCUUAACCUUCGGGAGGGCGCUUACCACUUUGUGAUUCAUGACUGGGGUGAAGUCGUAACAAGGUAACCGUA
rnacentral:rRNA from 1 species